rnacentral:rRNA from 1 species
UACGUAGGGGGCAAGCGUUGUCCGGAUUCAUUGGGCGUAAAGAGCGUGUAGGCGGCCAGGUAGGUCGGUUGUGAAAACUGGAGGCUCAACCUUCAGAGGUCGACCGAAACCAUCUGGCUAGAGUCCGGAAGAGGAGAGUGGAAUUCCUGGUGUAGCGGUGGAAUGCGCAGAUAUCAGGAGGAACACCAACGGCGAAGGCAGCUCGCUGGGACGGUACUGACACUGAGGCGCGAAAGCGUGGGGAGCGAACAGG